GCUGGGCGUGGUGGUGCAUGCCUGUAGUCCCAGCUACUCGGGAGGCUGAGGCAGGAGAAUCGCUUGAACCCAGGAGACGGAGGUUGCAGUGAGCUGAGAUCACACCACUGCACUCCAGCCUGGGUGACAGAGUGAGACUCUGUCUCAA
rnacentral:SRP_RNA from 1 species